UACGUAGGGUGCGAGCGUUGUCCGGAAUUAUUGGGCGUAAAGAGCUCGUAGGCGGUUUGUUGCGUCGGCCGUGAAAACCUGCAGCUUAACUGUGGGCCUGCGGCCGAUACGGGCAGACUUGAGUUCGGUAGGGGAGACUGGAAUUCCUGGUGUAGCGGUGAAAUGCGCAGAUAUCAGGAGGAACACCAAUUGCGAAGGCAGCUCGCUGGGACGUAACUGACGCUGAGACACGAAAGCGUGGGGAGCAAACAGG
rnacentral:rRNA from 1 species